rnacentral:rRNA from 1 species
UACGUAGGGUGCAAGCGUUGUCCGGAAUUAUUGGGCGUAAAGAGCUCGUAGGCGGUCUGUCGCGUCGGCUGUGAAAACCCGGGGCUCAACCCCGGGCCUGCAGUCGAUACGGGCAGACUAGAGUGCGGUAGGGGAGACUGGAAUUCCUGGUGUAGGCGGUGAAAUGCGCAGAUAUCAGGAGGAACACCGGUGGCGAAGGCGGGUCUCUGGGCCGUAACUGACGCUGAGGAGCGAAAGCGUGGAGAGCGAACAGG